CCUACGGGGGGCAGCAGUGGGGAAUAUUGGGCAAUGGGCGCAAGCCUGACCCAGCAACGCCGCGUGAAGGAAGAAGUCUUUCGGGUUGUAAACUUCUGUUAAGGGGGAAGAGCAGAAUACGGUACCCCUUGAAUAAGCCACGGCUAACUACGUGCCAGCAGCCGCGGUAAUACGUAGGUGGCAAGCGUUGUCCGGAUUUACUGGGUGGAAAGGGCGUGCAGCCGGAGAGACAAGUCAGAUGUGAAAUCCACGGGCUCAACCCGUGAGAUGCAUUUGAAACUGUUUCGCUUGAGUGUCGGAGAGGUAAUCGGAAUUCCUUGUGUAGCGGUGAAAUGCGUAGAUAUAAGGAAGAACACCAGGGGCGAAGGCGGAUUACUGGACGAUAACUGACGGUGAGGCGCGAAAGCGUGGGGAGCAAACAGGAUUAGAUAACCCUUGUAGUC
rnacentral:rRNA from 1 species